rnacentral:rRNA from 1 species
GAUGAACGCUGGCGGCGUGCCUAAUACAUGCAAGUCGAGCGAAUGGAUUAAGAGCUUGCUCUUAUGAAGUUAGCGGCGGACGGGUGAGUAACACGUGGGUAACCUGCCCAUAAGACUGGGAUAACUCCGGGAAACCGGGGCUAAUACCGGAUAACAUUUUGAACCGCAUGGUUCGAAAUUGAAAGGCGGCUUCGGCUGUCACUUAUGGAUGGACCCGCGUCGCAUUAGCUAGUUGGUGAGGUAACGGCUCACCAAGGCAACGAUGCGUAGCCGACCUGAGAGGGUGCGCGGCCACACUGGGACUGAGACACGGCCCAGACUCCUACGGGAGGCAGCAGUAGGGAAUUUUCCGCAAUGGACGAAAGUCUGACGGAGCAACGCCGCGUGAGUGAUGAAGGCUUUCGGGUCGUAAAACUCUGUUGUUAGGGAAGAACAAGUGCUAGUUGAAUAAGCUGGCACCUUGACGGUACCUAACCAGAAAGCCACGGCUAACUACGUGCCAGCAGCCGCCGUAA